ensembl:lncRNA
AUGCCUUUUAUUUAUUUCUCUUGCCUGAUUGCUCUGACCAACAGCAUCAGUAUUUGCUGUGGGGGACUGGCAGUGUUCUUGGACUCCCCACACUGGUACACAGACCCAUCUGGCUGUACAGCCAUGUACACCACCCCUCAACACAGAAUGGCAAUACAAAGAUACCAGACAUUACAGCCAGAUACCAGAAUCUGCUGGGAAGAGCCUGGCAUGAGCACAGCACACUGCCACCAAGCACAGCGAUGUACACACACAGAGCAGGUGGGAGGGCAGUGGCAGCAGGAGGGCUGAAAUCAGGCGCCCAUGCUUGCCCUUGGUGCACAGAAUUUUACACAAUUUCGUAAGUGCUCAUGGAGGAGAAGGCUCCCUGUUCCUCCUCAAAAGGAAAAAAAAAACACCUUGAUUCAAUUAAAGCCAAUGUGGAUAUAUUUGCUUACAUUUUGUUUUGUAAUAAAUACUUACAGGUGUCUCUAUGUGAACAGACUCCUAGGCACAAUCACAUGUAAACACAAUACUGGGCAUCCAGGCUUUGGGAGCUGAUACAAGAAAAUGCUGCAUAUGUACUUCAAUAUAGAGAGAGCAGUAUUCUAAUUCUGUGAAGAAGCAAAGUUUCAUGACAAACACUCCUGUCACAUCAUAACAUGACAAUAACAUGCACUAAAGUAAACAUGGUUUUACAGAAUACCUACCAGACGUUUAUAUUAAUGAAUAUGCACUUAUGUGUGUAGUGUAUGCAGAGAUGUGAACACAUAGGAGGCAUGGAAAGACAAUCAGUUUUCAAACAUCUGUGUGCUAAUGAGGACAGUCCUCCCCUGAAGUGGACAAUUUGAGAGGCUCUGAGUCCAGAGACUCAUUCCAAGCAAUUUCUUAGGGAUUUUUUAAGAAACAAAAAUGGUCGGACUUACCUUAAUUGCCAUCUUUAUUCGUCCGACUGUGCUAUAAAGUACUUGAGAUUAUUUCCAGAACUGAAAUCCAUCCUCAAAGGAGGAAGAUUUCUCAUCUCUAAGGGGAAACCAAAGGAACAUGCCAAGCCCUGAAGGCCAUUCUAAUAGAGGAGUUCCCAAGAUAUUUUUGACUUGGCAACACUAGAGCCAAUCCACACAUAGUCUCCCAAAAGACACUGUUUACGGAGGGUGGGGUGAGAUGAAACACUUUGAUCUUCUGUAUGUUAAGAGAAGAAAUUCCCACAAACAACCCUAGAGUCAUACCUCAUAUGUAUACACUCACUUAUACACAUGUCUUUAAAUACCAUUAAAUUACUAAGUGAGAAAAGGGUAUAUUACUUAAAAGAAAGAAAAAUUGCUUGUUUGUUCCAGGAGAAAUUCACUUACUGAAAUGCUAACUUUUGCAUUCCCUUAGCUGACCAACUUCUGGCAACUUCUUAAUUACUUUGCCCAUCUCCCAUGGAGCCACAUGUCAGAGGCAAACCCAUUAAACAAUCGUCACAUCUAAUGAAGACAUUUUAAACACUUUAAUUACUUAAACAACAACAAAAAAGAAACGAAUCAUUUAUAAAGCAUGUACCAUGGCUGCCUCAGGUUUUAGGAUGUGGAGAAGUUAAUGGUAGGCUGGAUACUCUGUGACUAUUUAAAGCCUUAUUCAUUUAAGAACAUUUGUGAGAUCUCACUGACUAUGGCCAUGGGACUCCUUUGCUUAAGAGGAGUGCAAGAUCAUUCAGAGAACACAGAGAAGCAUGUCCACUUAACUCCAGUGUGGACAUGGGGCAAUACUCUGGUUUUGAAAAACACAUCUAUUUGCUCAGCAAAACUCCCUGCAGUCUAAGCGUGAGCCCCCUGCCUCAAAAGCUUUUAAUGCCCCAAUCUAUUAUCCACUGCUUUCCAGGUCCACAGCCCCACCUGAAGUCUGUUUCCCUAAGUCUCUGGGACUCAGGCUGGUGGGGAGCAUUUCCCACUCUAUCAGCAUCUGGCAUGAAGGUGCUACAGCCACUGCCACAUGAGGAUGCACACCCAGGUGAGAACAAACAGGAGUAAUGACUGGCUGCUCUGCACGGGACAUUCUGAGCACCUCCUUCCUGAGUAACAGACACACUGAAUUCUCUGUUCCACAUUCAGAACUAAUUUGGUGCAACUGUUUCGGUAUCCAUGCCAAGCCUUGUGGAGUCAAACUCAUACAUGAGUUCCAAAAAGCAACUCCAGAAGACUUUACCCAGAAGAGCUCCACCACUGCCUGGUCUCCCAACCAAAGCCUGAGGGGAGCCAAGGCAGCCCUGCCCUGUGUGCAUGGUUAGGAUAUGCUGAACUCCAUAUUACCAUUGGCUGCCAGCUUCUGGAAAGCAGAGAAAACGCUGAGAGAGGAAAACGCUAAGAAAGUGUUCUGCACAUGCUCUGAAAGUUUUGGAAAACAAUGUGUUUUUCCUGGCAGCUUAGCUACAGGGACCUGCAGACAGUAACAGUUCUUAUGUACAGAACCACCUACUUAGUGAAACUCUAGCGUCAGAGACCUGACUCCAACUUCUCAAAUUCAUGUAAUAUCCUAGCAGCACACAGAAACUGACAGACUGCACAGUCUACCGUGAAGCAGAACAAUGCUGGCAUAUCUUCUCAUGAAGCCAGAGCCUCUCCCCUUUACCCUGAGACAGGACACUCAAGUUCUAUAAUCAGGCGCCACUGGGCAAGUUUGAAGUCCAGGUCUCUGGGAAGUGCAGAAGUAUUCUGUAAGUAUAGUUUGCAGCUGUGCUUUUGGGGGAACACAAUAAUUUCCAUCUGUGCCUAGCAUUUACAGGCAAUUCUACUAGUUCUGGGCUUAGUCCUAUUUCUUAGGCUCUGAGAUGUGUGAUAGCUGUGUGUGUGGGGGGGGGGUACACAUGUGCACACACAUCACAGACGGAGACAGAGACUGCCAAGAUGCAGUGCCACAUGUUAGAGGAUGCAGAGCCCAGCGCCUCUCCAAACUUUGUUUUAAAUAAUCUUAGCUUCUCCUGGCUGUGAGAUUUCAGGAAGGGACUUAACCUUUCUGAGCCCAUUUCUUCAUCAGUGAAAUCAGAAUAAUAAGUUCAGCCCAUGUACUGCAGGUGGGUUGAGGACUAAUUAAAAGGUACUUACUAAACUGUUGGCAUACAGUUGGCACUAGAAAAUACAGCUAGUAUUAUUUUUUCUGAAAAUCUGUUUAAGAUACUGUAAGUUGCCCAGAACUCAGAGCAGGUGCUCAGUAUAUGGCCAGACUUCAGGAAAGCUAUGACGAUGAAAGUAUUUAGUGCCCUGGCUUGGAAGGAAAUUUCCCAUAGAAGAAGGCAUCUUAAAGCUAUAGAUCUUGUUCUUCAGGAAGAGUCUUGGUGGGGUAAGAGAAAAAAAAUAUUGUCAAGGUCCACAGUACAACACACUUGAAACCCUGAAACAUGGCAGUGUGUUCGUUUGUAUUAUGACAAUUAAAACACUUGGCAGUUCAGGGGGACCUCAAAGAGUAAGUGAGUCUUAUACCUGAUUGGGGCAAUGAGGCGUCUGGGGCAUGAAGACCAGGCUUUGGGAGAAACAGCUGGGUCUCUCACUCUAACUUACAUCUAAGGGAGGCAGCCCAAGCUUGGGGUGGCCCAGACCUAAGGACAUUCUGACCCCAGGUUAUGUUGGGGAUGGACCAACAUAAACUGGGAUCAGAAUGUCCUUAAGAGAGUUAGCUGCCAUGUCCUAAUCUCAUUCCCUAUGAAACG